rnacentral:rRNA from 1 species
GUGAACGACGUGCCUGGAGUGGGGGUAAUAGGUGGGUGGUAAGGGUGUUGCUGGAUUGCUGGGUGGAAAGUGCGUGUAGGAUGGUUAUUAAGUCAGGUGUGAAAUUCCAGGGCUCGACCCUGGCGCUGCAUCUGAAACUGAGGAGCUUGGGUACUGGAGAGGGAGGCGGAAGUCCUAGGGUAGCGGUGAAAUGCGUAGAUAUUAGGAGGAACACCAGUGGCGAAGGCGGCUUUCUGGACAGUAACUGACGCUGAGGCGCGAAAGCGUGGGGAGCAAACAGGAUUAGAUACCCGUGUAGUC